AGUGAACGCUGGCGGUAGGCCUAACGCAUGCAAGUCGAACGGCAGCACAGUAAGAGCUUGCUCUUACGGGUGGCGAGUGGCGGACGGGUGAGGAAUACAUCGGAACCUACUUUUUCGUGGGGGAUAACGUAGGGAAACUUACGCUAAUACCGCAUACGACCUACGGGUGAAAGCAGGGGAUCUUCGGACCUUGCGCGAUUGAAUGAGCCGAUGUCGGAUUAGCUAGUUGGCGGGGUAAAGGCCCACCAAGGCGACGAUCCGUAGCUGGUCUGAGAGGAUGAUCAGCCACACUGGAACUGAGACACGGUCCAGACUCCUACGGGAGGCAGCAGUGGGGAAUAUUGGACAAUGGGCGCAAGCCUGAUCCAGCCAUACCGCGUGGGUGAAGAAGGCCUUCGGGUUGUAAAGCCCUUUUGUUGGGAAAGAAAAGCAGCAGGUUAAUACCCCGCUGUUCUGACGGUACCCAAAGAAUAAGCACCGGCUAACUUCGUG
rnacentral:rRNA from 1 species